CUCUGUUUUUAUUGGACCAGACACAGAACCCCCACUGACUCACAUUAUAUCCUUAAAACAAUUGUGGGAUCAGAUUAUGCUGUUUGAACUCAAAUCAGCAUUUUGCAGCUCCUUACCCGUAGGUUGUGUGAAGCACUCUUUGCUUUGUUUUGCUCUGGACCUGGAACCCACUUCUCUCCUUUCUUGGUCCCUCAUAUCUACACCUCUGGGAAAUGGGUGCUGCUCCAGAUGGACAGCAUCUCAGUGUGUGUCCAGUCCUGCAGGAUGGCAGGGAAGCAGUGUCUUAGAGAACUUCCCCUUCUGUCAAAUUCAGUUGAACUUUGUUAAGGAG